rnacentral:tRNA from 1 species
UUGGGGAUAUAGCUCAGUUGGUAGAGUGCUUGCCUUGUAUGUGCAAGGUCCUAGGUUCGAUCCCCAGCACCAAA